GACGAACGCUGGCGGCGUGCCUAAUACAUGCAAGUCGAGCGAGCUGAACCAACAGAUUUACUUCGGUAAUGACGUUGGGAACGCGAGCGGCGGAUGGGUGAGUAACGCGUGGGGAACCUGCCCCUCAGUCUGGGAUACCACUUGGAAACAGGUGCUAAUACCGGAUAAUAAAGCAGAUCGCAUGAUCAGCUUUUGAAAGGCGGCGUAAGCUGUCGCUAAGGGAUGGCCCCGCGGUGCAUUAGCUAGUUGGUAGGGUAACGGCCUACCAAGGCAAUGAUGCAUAGCCGAGUUGAGAGACUGAUCGGCCACAUUGGGACUGAGACACGGCCCAAACUCCUACGGGAGGCAGCAGUAGGGAAUCUUCCACAAUGGACGAAAGUCUGAUGGAGCAACGCCGCGUGAGUGAAGAAGGUUUUCGGAUCGUAAAGCUCUGUUGUUGGGAAGAAGGAUAGAGGUAGUA
rnacentral:rRNA from 1 species